UAUAAAAACUAUGGCAAACUAUUUAGCAAGAUGAUAGCUGAGUGCCUUAAAAAGGAACCAGAGAAAAGACCAACAGCAAAACAGUUACUGAAAAAUGAAUUUUUCAAAAAGUCCAAGGACAAGGCACAUUUGGUGAAACUGCUCACAGACCAGGGACCCCCAGUCAAGCCACAGAAGGUAAGUUCUGCU